GGGGUCGACAUGGCUUCGACGUGGGUCAAGAAGCAGAUCAGGGCGUGUCGAGCACCAGUACGCUCGUAAAUCCACUGGAAAACUACAAACGCCAACGACGAGCGUUUCGCUCUAGCCGCUUAAGGCUGGGCCACUGCACUAAUUUGUCUUUGGGUUAGGUAGGGCAACCUACAGCAGUGUUAUUUACAAAGAAUCGAAUCGGCCUGCGCCACGAAGUCCGGUUCUAAAACUUAGUGGAUCGCCAAGGAAAGGCCUGUCAAUUGGCACAGUCCAAGGUUAAAACUUAAAAUUAAUUGACUACACAUGUAGAACUGUCUGUGGACGGCUUGCGGACGGGGGUUCAAUUCCCCCCGACUCCACCA
rfam:Alcaligenes sp. EGD-AK7 Contig12, whole genome shotgun sequence.